GACGAACGCUGGCGGCGUGCUUAACACAUGCAAGUCGAACGGAAAGGCCCCUUUGGGGGUACUCGAGUGGCGAACGGGUGAGUAACACGUGAGUAACCUGCCCUUGACUUCGGGAUAACUUCAGGAAACUGGGGCUAAUACCGGAUAGGAAUCCUUGCUGCAUGGUGGGGGUUGGAAAGCUUCGGCGGUUUUGGAUGGACUCGCGGCUUAUCAGCUUGUUGGUGGGGUAGUGGCUUACCAAGGCUUUGACGGGUAGCCGGCCUGAGAGGGCGACCGGCCACAUUGGGACUGAGAUACGGCCCAGACUCCUACGGGAGGCAGCAGUGGGGAAUAUUGCACAAUGGGCGGAAGCCUGAUGCAGCAACGCCGCGUGCGGGAUGACGGCCUUCGGGUUGUAAACCGCUUUCAGCAGGGGCGAAGCUUGUGGUGACGGUACCUGCAGAAGAAGCACCGGCUAACUACGU
rnacentral:rRNA from 1 species